rnacentral:rRNA from 1 species
GGACGAACGCUGGCGGCGUGCUUAACCCAUGCAAGUCGAACGGAAAGGCCCUGCUUUUGUGGGGUGCUCGAGUGGCGAACGGGUGAGUAACACGUGAGUAACCUGCCCUUGACUUUGGGAUAACUUCAGGAAACUGGGGCUAAUACCGGAUAGGAGCUCCUGCUGCAUGGUGGGGGUUGGAAAGUUUCGGCGGUUGGGGAUGGACUCGCGGCUUAUCAGCUUGUUGGUGGGGUAGUGGCUUACCAAGGCUUUGACGGGUAGCCGGCCUGAGAGGGUGACCGGCCACAUUGGGACUGAGAUACGGCCCAGACUCCUACGGGAGGCAGCAGUGGGGAAUAUUGCACAAUGGGCGGAAGCCUGAUGCAGCAACGCCGCGUGCGGGAUGACGGCCUUCGGGUUGUAAACCGCUUUCGCCUGUGACGAAGCGUGAGUGACGGUAAUGGGUAAAGAAGCACCGGCUAACUACGUG